UGUAGGGCCACUGCUCAAAAGCAAUAACUCUGCCACUGCAAUAACAACGAUAACAAGUUAAUAAUUCAGCGUUCAGGACCUGUACAAAAUAUGGUAUGCAGAGAAUUGAAGAUCAGAACAUUCCGCUGAACCAAGAACUUGAUCUAUCAGUUUUGAAACAUGCCCUGGAGCACAAACACAAAGAGAGCCGAUCUCUGCAGGAGGAAUGAGGUCUGUGUCACACCUGGCUGUGGGCCUGAUGGAGGCUUCAAAGAGUGAAGGAAGCUGCCUUCAGGUUGCAGAAAGGACAAGCCCACUUCAUAAAUCCAUUUUGUAAGCUUCUAAAAAAUCUUUUGCCCAAGUUCUUGAGACUUUCCUGACUCUUUCCAGUGUGUGAGGCCUGGGAAAACAUUUUUUACUUGGU